GACGGGGGCCCGCACAAGCGGUGGAGCAUGUGGUUUAAUUCGAAGCAACGCGAAGAACCUUACCAGGUCUUGACAUCCUUUGACCACUCUAGAGAUAGAGCUUCCCCUUCGGGGGCAAAGUGACAGGUGGUGCAUGGUUGUCGUCAGCUCGUGUCGUGAGAUGUUGGGUUAAGUCCCGCAACGAGCGCAACCCUUAUUGUUAGUUGCCAUCAUUUAGUUGGGCACUCUAGCGAGACUGCCGGUGACAAACCGGAGGAAGGUGGGGAUGACGUCAAAUCAUCAUGCCCCUUAUGACCUGGGCUACACACGUGCUACAAUGGGAAGUACAACGAGUUGCGAAGUCGCGAGGCUAAGCUAAUCUCUUAAAGCUUCUCUCAGUUCGGAUUGUAGGCUGCAACUCGCCUACAUGAAGCCGGAAUCGCUAGUAAUCGCGGAUCAGCACGCCGCGGUGAAUACGUUCCCGGGCCUUGUACACACCGCCCGUCACACCACGAGAGUUUGUAACACCCGAAGUCGGUGAGGUAACCUUUUUGGAGCCAGCCGCCUAAGGUGGGAUAGAUGAUUGGGGUGAAGUCGUAACAAGGUAGCCG
rnacentral:rRNA from 1 species